AAUGCAGGAGAUGAUAUUUUCUUGUGUGAGUAUGAAUAUGACAUUCAUUGGCACACUUUCAAGCGAAUGGCUGAGAUU
rnacentral:snoRNA from 1 species